AAGCGUUUAUGACCAGACUUGGGCUUGGUUAAUCAUCUGGGGUUCUCCCCAGUGCACUUUUCCAGUCCAGGCCAGCAUCAGUUUUCCCCGGGGGAUAAAAGCCUUGGGAACGUAGCUCCUCCGGGAGUGUUAUAGCCCC
rnacentral:rRNA from 1 species